rnacentral:rRNA from 1 species
GACGAACGCUGGCGGCGCGCCUAACACAUGCAAGUCGAACGAGAGAGAGGGAGCUUGCUUCCUUGAUCGAGUGGCGAACGGGUGAGUAACGCGUGAGGAACCUGCCUCAAAGAGGGGGACAACAGUUGGAAACGACUGCUAAUACCGCAUAAGCCCACGACCCGGCAUCGGGAAGAGGGAAAAGGAGCAAUCCGCUUUGAGAUGGCCUCGCGUCCGAUUAGCUAGUUGGUGAGGUAACGGCCCACCAAGGCAACGAUCGGUAGCCGGACUGAGAGGUUGAACGGCCACAUUGGGACUGAGACACGGCCCAGACUCCUACGGGAGGCAGCAGUGGGGAAUAUUGCACAAUGGGGGAAACCCUGAUGCAGCGACGCCGCGUGGAGGAAGAAGGUCUUCGGAUUGUAAACUCCUGUUGUUGAGGAAGAUAAUGACGGUACUCA